CUCUGGUCCAACAGAAACUCUACAGGCUCCUUUUGACCAGUGACAUACAGGAUUCCCAGCAUCCUUCCAUUGGGGAGCUGAGGAUGCACACAGGAAUGUGUGGCUGGGCAGGAUCACUGGGAAAGGUGAGGCCUUGGGAUUUGAAAGGCAAUGGCAAGGACCUUGAAAUCAAUUCUGUGAAACAUGGGGAUCCAGUGAAGCUUGGCAAGGUUGGCGAUGAUGGCAGUGCAGUAUUUUGCGCUGGUAAGGACACAGAUUGAGACAUUCUGAAUGACCAGUAAUUCGUUAAGGGUGGAAACCAGCAAAAGCACUGGAGAUGUCGAGUCCCUGGACAAUGAAGAUGUGGAAUAGAAUUUUGGCAGUAUUGUCAGACAGGCAGGUCAGUUUUCUGGUCAAUUCCGACCCAAAUCUUAGGACCAAUCAACAGUAGCACCACCCCAUUCUGGAGCCUGAUCGGUGGGAGCAGCAGACCAGUCUUCAGCAGCAGGCUGAGCACUCCAGUCCUUUGUAGCUGUUUCA